UUCCUGCUAGCUGCGCUCUUGCCCGGCCGCUUCGCUGCAUGUAGGCCCGCGGCAACUAGCCGGAUCAGGUCACCUCUAGGAGCGCCGAUGCUGCUGUUUCUCCUCUUUCUCAUCCGUCUUGCAGCCUCAUUGAUGGAGGCGAUGCGUCUCCUCAUAGGUUGACACUCAAAUAACUGGCAGUCAGCUUCUCUUGCUCUCUUGCUGAUGGGCUUAUUAGACCCAGCACUGCCCUCUAGUGGAAACUAGCAGCUCCACUGA